AGUGAACGCUGGCGGUAGGCCUAACACAUGCAAGUCGAACGGCAGCACAGUAAGAGCUUGCUCUUACGGGUGGCGAGUGGCGGACGGGUGAGGAAUACAUCGGAAUCUACUUUUUCGUGGGGGAUAACGUAGGGAAACUUACUCUAAUACCGCAUACGACCUACGGGUGAAAGCAGGGGAUCUUCGGACCUUGCGCGAUUGAAUGAGCCGAUGUCGGAUUAGCUAGUUGGCGGGGUAAAGGCCCACCAAGGCGACGAUCCGUAGCUGGUCUGAGAGGAUGAUCAGCCACACUGGAACUGAGACACGGUCCAGACUCCUACGGGAGGCAGCAGUGGGGAAUAUUGGAGAAUGGGCGCAAGCCUGAUCCAGCCAUGCCGCGUGGGAGAAGAAGGCCUUCGGGUUGUAAAGCCCUUUUGUUGGGAAAGAAAAGCAGCAGGUUAAUACCCCGCUGUUCUGACGGUACCCAAAGAAUAAGCACCGGCUAACUUCGUG
rnacentral:rRNA from 1 species